rnacentral:rRNA from 1 species
UACAGAGGUCUCAAGCGUUGUUCGGAUUCAUUGGGCGUAAAGGGUGCGUAGGCGGCGCGGUAAGUCGGGUGUGAAAUCUUGGAGCUUAACUCCGAAGCUGCAUUCGAUACUGCCGUGCUUGAGGACUGGAGAGGAGACUGGAAUUUACGGUGUAGCGGUGAAAUGCGUAGAUAUCGUAAGGAAGACCAGUGGCGAAGGCGGGUCUCUGGACAGUUCCUGACACUGAGACACGAAGGCCAGGGGAGCAAACGGG